rnacentral:rRNA from 1 species
GACGAACGCUGGCGGCGUGCUUAACACAUGCAAGUCGAACGGUGAAAGCGGAGCUUGCUCCGCUGGAUCAGUGGCGAACGGGUGAGUAACACGUGGGCAACCUGCCCUUCACUUCGGGAUAACUCCGGGAAACCGGGGCUAAUACCGGAUAUGACCUCUGCGGGCAUCCGCGGAGGUGGAAAGUUUUUCGGUGAAGGAUGGGCCCGCGGCCUAUCAGCUUGUUGGUGAGGUAGUGGCUCACCAAGGCGACGACGGGUAGCCGGCCUGAGAGGGGGACCGGCCACACUGGGACUGAGACACGGACCAGACUCCUACGGGAGGCAGCAGUGGGGAAUAUUGCGCAAUGGGCGAAAGCCUGACGCAGCAACGCCGCGUGCGGGAUGACGGCCUUCGGGUUGUAAACCGCUUUCAGCAGGGACGAUAAUGACGGUACCUGGAUAAGAAGCCCCGGCUAACUUCGUGCCAGCCGCCGCCGUAA